CUACCUGGUGUUAGGCAAUGCUUUUCCUGUAUGAUUCUCCUCACAACAAUCUUGCAGGAUAGGUACCAUAAUCUUUGAUUCACAGACAAGAAAUAGAAGCCGGGUGAGUUGUCCAGGUACCCCCUAGGUAAGCAGGAAGCCGAGUUUCCAACACACUCUAAGCUACCCCUCCUGUCACUAUGAGCCUGCACCACCAGAGCUGUGAGCACACUGCACCGGCUGUGUCUCAAACAUGAUUGGCGGCGGGUAAUUGGUGUUGCAUAAGUGACCAGUACCCUGGGGGUAGGGGGUGGAGAUGGGAGAACGACACCUGGGCUCCCCAGGGCAAGAGGAUUAUGUUGCUAGACUCAUCUUUCCACAGACCUCUCCAAGGGGGCUGGGAAAUGUUGACAGACCAGUUGAGGUUGGAUCGGGUGCCAGGCACACCGGUGCGUUUACUUCCUGCUUCACCAUAUCGCUGGCAUUUUGCGAUGGAGGACACGGAAGACUCAAGAGGAUGUGAGCUUUUUCACAAAAUGGUGUGAGCUCUGAGGAGUGGGGUACAGGGGUCGCUUUUCUCGGCCCCUUCCCUCUCCCCGAUGUCCGCCGUUUCCUUUCUUCUCCUCCCGGUGUCCGUCGACCUGGUCCUUCACCGCAGAGCCCUUGCCAGGCCCUCCUUCCCUCUGUCCCAUUAAAUGUUCUUUUCAGCAGACAGCGCCCUGCCCCAGAGGCUGCCUGAGAAGGUGAUUCAUGUGUGGCCCUCGCAGGAUGAAACCUUUACUCCCUUUAGGUAACACGGUUGACAUUUAAAGGUCAAACCGUCAAGUUUCCAAGCGAGGAAGGGGGUUACACUAAACCAGGCUCGUGUCCCUGUUUCUAGGGUUGUAGGGAGUCUCUGCUCCUCUUUGCACGGCCCCCGAGGAGUGAGGGAGGCUUCCAGAGUUCUGCCCAUGCAAAGUAUAUAAGCGAAACUUAUUUGCAUCUAGUCCUCAAACAAAUGCCAUACCUGCCGAACAUUGGAUAACUCCCAAUCACCUCUCCUGCCCCAACACGGAAAGACUGAAGUCAUGAUUCAAGCAAUAGAGCUUUAAGCUGAGUGCGGGUGGGGUGAGGACACAUGACUUGAAAGUUACCAGGUUCUUCUGCUCCACGACAAAAGUUGUACCAGCCGCACAAGGAAAGGUGAGCUGAAAAAUGGAAAAAGAGCUGUAAAUGGACACAAAAACCUACGGAAGCCAGAUUCCUCGGCUUUAGGAGCGGACGAUUCAAAACUCAAGUCUACAACUGCAUUUAUAACCACACCAGGAAGAACACAAUGCUUAGGACUGAACCUAAUAAGCAGUGCUGACACAAAGACCUGAGUCUCAAUGGCACUUAGUGCUGGCGGGGUGCAAGGCUUGAUUUUGCUAAGCAGAGUAGCAAGUCCCACCGUUGUGGUCCACAGAUAGAGAGCACGCAGGACGACCUUAACAACCUUUCCUUCAGCAAUGGGAAAGCUGAUCUUAAAAACCAUAGAGACCUGUAGUGCAUGCCACACAUAAUCUUCAAUAAUGUGUUGAGGUAACUCUCUGCAAGAAUGAAGCUGAGCCCUGCUAGGGUCUGCGCUUGGUUUGCUGUCACUGCAGCUCAGACUGGAGUCUAAUCCCCGCUGUGAGGCAUUGUGAGGGUGGAAACUUAAUCUCACUACAUUGUAAAGAAAUGGAGCAUUUGGGGGUAUGAUUAGGAUUAGAUAAGACAUUUAGGAUGAGCCCUCCCACCCCCAUGACUGAAUCCUGGUGGCUUUGUAAGAAAGCCCAGAGGACAGACCUAGACAUGUGGACUUCCUGCCAUGUGUGGCCCUGAGCUGUGUCAGGACUCUGCCAGCAAGAAGGCUGUGGGGAGACUUGGCCUCUUCAUCACGGGCCAGAACUGUGAACCAAAAUAAACCCCUUUAUACUUCA